rnacentral:rRNA from 1 species
GACGAACGCUGGCGGCGUGCUUAACACAUGCAAGUCGAACGGAAAGGCCCCGCUUUUGUGGGGUGCUCGAGUGGCGAACGGGUGAGUAACACGUGAGUAACCUGCCCUUGACUUUGGGAUAACUUCAGGAAACUGGGGCUAAUACCGGAUAGGAGCUCCUGCUGCAUGGUGGGGGUUGGAAAGUUUCGGCGGUUGGGGAUGGACUCGCGGCUUAUCAGCUUGUUGGUGGGGUAGUGGCUUACCAAGGCUUUGACGGGUAGCCGGCCUGAGAGGGUGACCGGCCACAGUGGGACUGAGAUACGGCCCAGACUCCUACGGGAGGCAGCAGUGGGGAAUAUUGCACAAUGGGCGGAAGCCUGAUGCAGCAACGCCGCGUGCGGGAUGACGGCCUUCGGGUUGUAAACCGCUUUCGCCUGUGACGAAGCGUGAGUGACGGUAAUGGGUAAAGAAGCACCGGCUAACUACGUG